GACAGAGGGUGCAAACGUUGCUCGGAAUCACUGGGCGUAAAGGGCGUGUAGGCGGGCAGGUAAGUCGGGCGUGAAAUCCCUGAGCUCAACUCAGGAACUGCACUCGAAACUACUUGUCUUGAGUAUCGGAGAGGAAAGCGGAAUACCUGGUGUAGAGGUGAAAUUCGUAGAUAUCAGGUGGAACACCAGUGGCGAAGGCGGCUUUCUGGACGGUAACUGACGCUGAGACGCGAAAGCGUGGGGAGCGAACAGG
rnacentral:rRNA from 1 species